CUCUGUGUUACGGGAUGAAUUGAGCGUUGCUGAUAACGCAGCGUUUUUGACGUUACCGUAGUAGAAAGCCCCAGCUAACUACGUGCCAGCAGCUGCGGUAAUACGUAGGGGGCAAGCGUUGUCCGGAAUCACUGGGCGUAAAGCGCGCGCAGGCGGUGGAAUAAGUCAGACGUGAAAGGGUUCGGCUCAACCGAGCCAUUGCGUUUGAUACUGUUUCACUUGAGUCUAGAAGAGGAAAGUGGAAUGUAUGGUGUAGCGGUGGAAUGCUUAGAUAUCAUAUAGAACACCCGUGGCGAAGGCGGCUUUCUGGUCUAAGACUGACGCUCAUGCGCGAAAGUUUGGGGAGCAACCGGGAUUAGAUACCCCGCUAGUCCUUACUGUAAACGAUGGGUACUAAGUGUAGGGGGUGUUGAUUCCCUCUGUGCUGUAGCUAACGCAUUAAGUACCCCGCCUGGGGAGUACGGCCGCAGGUUAAAACUCAAGGUAAUUGACGGGGGGCCGCACAGGCGGUGGAGCAUGUCGCUUAAUUCGACGCAACGCGAAGAACCUUACCAGGGCUUGACAUCGCAGUGACCGCUAUAGAAAUAUAGUUUUCCUUCGGGA
rnacentral:rRNA from 1 species